GAGAUGAAAAUUUUGAAAAAAAUGAAUUGCAUGCAUUAAGUGAGUGAAAGUAGAAUGAGGUUUUGUUUAUAUGUAUAUUAAGAGAAAAAUAUUAAGUAAAUUCGAGAUUUCAAGUAAUUAUAUAUGAGUGAUUUUGUGUAAUUUGCCAAAAAGCGUUUGAAACUUUUGGGCCACAUUGAAGAGCCCAUCAUCUGACAAACGGAGGAAAACAAUGAAAGGGGGAAACGACGACGCAGACGGAGAAUAGAAGUAAAAACAGAGCGAUAAAAUCGCUGAGAUAGGGUGCUGUGCAUUAUUGGAUUCUAUCUUAUGCACCACGCACAACUCAACUACAAGGAAUUCAGAAUGAGAGAUUGAAGAAGUAUGAGGAAUGGAGACGCAUACCCCCACUGAUUUGUCAGGAGAUUCUCUUGCGUGAUAAGUACUUUCAAACAUUUACCCUGCUUAUAUUUUGAUUUUCUACUAUUUACGGCUCGACUAAUUCCAUAAGAUAGCGGUCACCUCCCAUCAACAAUUUAGAAAUGUGAAGAAAUCAUCUAGUGUUUUUAUCUUCGUGGAGAAUACCCAAGCUUCUAUUCCAUUUUGUUGAUUAUGACUUGAAAAAUUCAAUCCAUAUCAAGCACUACAAAAUGCAGUCUAAGAAUUCAGGAUGACAUUUUUGUGUUCAGCUAAUGUUUUGUGCAUGAUAAUUUAUAGUUUCGCUCUGAAACUUACGAAAGUUGUAGUACAACGAGCUUAGUAGAUAUCUGACUUGGGAGUCAGGAUAUUAGAUAAAUUCAUAUUACAAUGAUUCUACCAUCUCUUAUAUAGAGUUAGCCUUAAUAUAAAAUAUGAAUGCCCCAACCUUCAUGGAGCUGAAAUCAUGAAAGAACACUAACGAGUGCAUAAGAAAUUGAUCCAUCAUUUUCAUAUUGUUUACAAAUUCAAUAAAAGGUUUCAAUUUAUUUACCAGUAUCGACAACGCCAAGCAUCAUUAUAAAUGAAAUAACGGAAUGUACGGGUUGGGCUGAAUCAUGAAUUUGGCCAGGUCAAAAUGAGCUAAGUUAAUAAAUAGGUGGGUUAUUGACCCGUCCAAAAGCUACUUGGGCCGAAAUAUGCUAAAAUGCGGGUUAUAACCCAAUCCGGUCAAUUCAUUCUUUUACGCAUUUUUCGUACCUGGUAGAGAAAAUUCUUUAUUAAGAUUAUAUAACAUAUCAAAUAAUUUUUUUUUUUUUGACAAGAUCUCUCAUGAGUCAAUUUGGGCUACAUAUCAAACCAAUUUUUUAAUGACUUGAAAUGGGUUGAGCUAAUAAAUGAGUGUGUUAUAAAAAAUAUUUGUUAUAAAGUAUUUUGACAAGAUCUCUCAUGAGUCAAUUUGGGCUACAUCUGAACCCAAAUUUUUAAUGAAUUGAAAUGGGUUUAGCUAAUAAAUUGGUGGGUCGUAAUAACAAUAUAAGAAUUGACCAAAUUAAGAGACUUGAUAGCUUGUAAUUCUGCUCCAAACACAUCCAAAUUUAAUAACUCCGAUUCGAUAGCUAGUAAUGUCUGCUCCAAACACAUCCAAAUUUAAUAACUCCAAUUACCACUGCCCCUGUAUCCACUAUUGUCUUGUGGAUAAUAAUUUAUGCUUACGCUCUGAAACUUUGGAGAUAUGUAGUACACUCGGGUUAGUAGAUAUCUGACUGGGGAGGCAUAGGACACGAGGGUUUUAUUUAGGGCUUGUUCAUGCUAAUGUGAAUUAUGCGCUUUGAGUUUUAGAUGCUCAACUUCCUUUAAUCUGAAAUUACUUUCUAAGAUUAGGUGCUCAAUCAGUAUCUCUAUAUGUUAUUACCAAUUUUCAACACAAAAGUAGUGUUUGGGUAAUAAACAAUUGUUGCUCAAGCAUCUAGUUACCUCGAUGCAGGUCUGCCACUAUACCGUACUGUAACAAAAGACCAAAGAAGCUAGGAGAUUAGGUGCCGACUCAUGUUUAUCCAAUGAAACGAUUUCUCUUUGUGUUUUAGAUUGGAGUG